UACGUAGGGGGCAAGCGUUAUCCGGACUUACUGGGUGUAAAGGGAGCGUAGACGGCAGAGCAAGUCCGGAGUGAAAGCCCGGGGCCCAACCCCGGGACUGCUCUGGAAACUGUUAAGCUGGAGUGCGGGAGGGGCAGGCGGAAUUCCUGGUGUAGCGGUGAAAUGCGUAGAUAUCAGGAGGAACACCGGCGGCGAAGGCGGCCUGCUGGACCGUGACUGACGUUGAGGCUCGAAAGCGUGGGGAGUAAACAGG
rnacentral:rRNA from 1 species